AUUGAACGCUGGCGGCAGGCCUAACACAUGCAAGUCGCACGAGUGGCGGACGGGUGAGUAAUGUCUGGGAAACUGCCUGACGGAGGGGGAUAACUAAUGGAAACGGUAGCUAAUACAGCAUACCAUCAGAUGCGCCACGAUGGGAUUAGCUAGUUGGUGGGGUAACGGCUCUCCAAGGUGACGAUCCCUAGCUGGUCUGAGAGGAUGAACGGCCACAUGGGAACUUGUACACGUUCCAGACGCCUACGGGAGUGAGCUGUGGGGAAUAUUGCACAAUUGGCGCAAGCCUGAUGCAGCCAUGUCGCGUGUAUGAAGAAGGCGUUCGGGUUGUAAAGUACUUUCAGCGGGGGGGCGUUACCCGCGGAAGAAGCACCGGCAAACUCCGUGCCAGCAGCCGCGGUAAUUC
rnacentral:rRNA from 1 species